UACGAAGGGGGCUAGCGUUGCUCGGAAUCACUGGGCGUAAAGCGCACGUAGGCGGCUUGUUAAGUCAGGGGUGAAAUCCUGGAGCUCAACUCCAGAAUUGCCCUUUGAUACUGGCGAGCUUGAGUUCGGGAGAGGUGAGUGGAACUGCGAGUGUAGAGGUGAAAUUCGUAGAUAUUCGCAAGAACACCAGUGGGCGAAGGCGGCUCACUGGCCCAUUACUGACGCUGAGGCACGAAAGCGUGGGGAGCAAACAGG
rnacentral:rRNA from 1 species